GCCCCUCUCCUCUACUCUCUGAGCACCUUCUCUGUGCCAGCAUGGCUGCAUGGGGUAUUCCCUUUAUUCCACACACUUUCAAGGUUCCACUUCCCGCCUCUUACCUGAACUGCAAUUACCUGACAUCACCAUGCUGUGAGAAGCCCAAACCAUGUGGGGGAGCCCCGGAGGGUAUGACAUCAUUUGGAGAGAGAGGUCAAGAAGUACUGAGACCUUGUCCUGUGAGUGAUGAAGCCAGCCUGGCACAGAAGCAAAGAUAAACCAUCUCGCUGAGCCCUUCUUGAAUUCCUCACCUACAAAAUUAUGAAUAAAAUAAAAUGGUGGUAAGCAUUGA